AUGAUCAUCACAAGCAGGGCCAGUGUCUGUAGUUACGGGACGACACUUACGGUCGUUUAUCAUCGCGAUCAUUACGUCGUUCUCUCGUAAAUAAUAACGGACGACGCGCGCGAUACAUCAACGCGUCGUCGUGUCUCAUCAGGCCGGGCAGCCGCGCGCUGACCCGCCCCCGAUGUGAUCCGCGAGCAUAGCGAUUCCGAGAGGGCGACCCCGAUGGAUCGUCACCUGUCCGCUGUCGUUGCCGACGACGACGAUUGGCAUCGCGAGGCGCACAACAACCUGGGCGCUCUACGUGACGGCGCUUAGCACGUCUCAGCACGGCGAGCUAUCAUGUGCCGGACGGCCGAGGUCGUAACGAUCUGAGGAACACCGAGCAACAGUCUUCAACGUCGUCCACGAUGGCGAGCCCCGGCAGUAACCCGGAGAAUGCCUCCAAGUUCUUGGAGGUUCUGCAGUCGGACCUCAAGGUACUCGCCUCGGAGACGAAGAAGAAGUAUCCGCAGAUCAAGGAGUCAUGCGAGGAAGGUGUCGCAAAGUUGAGAGCAGCGUCGAGUAAUCCAGGAACACCGAUAUAUUAUGUCAUCAAUCAGAUACUGUACCCUUUGGUUCAAGGUUGCGAGAGUAAGGAUAUAAAAAUUAUCAAGUUUUGUCUAGGCAUGAUGCAAAGGCUAAUAACACAACAGGCGGUAGAUCAGAAAGGCGCACGAUAUAUUACGGAUACCUUGUGGCUGUUAAUGGAAUCAGGUACUGAGGAAGUUAAAGUUUUGCAGACUGUAACUUUACUGCUGACAAGUAACACUGUGGUACAUGGAGACACCCUUGCGAGAAACUUGGUGCUGUGUUUCCGGUUGCACUUUACGAAAGACUGCACAACGAUAAACACAGCUGGUGCUACUGUAAGGCAACUAGUUUCCUUGGUGUUUGAGAGAGUAGUUGCCGAGGACGAGCAAAGUCCCGACCAGCAAGACUCCGACGAAGUUAAUCUGGAGGAACUGAAAAUCCCAACGAAUCAAGCGCCUAAAGGUCUCGGCCCUUGCGCUGCAGAUGCAUACUUAAUGUUUCAGGAUCUAGUUCAGUUGGUGAAUGCUGACCAACCAUACUGGCUGAUCGGCAUUACCGAGAUGACUAGGACCUUCGGAUUAGAGUUGCUAGAGUCUGUCUUAACAAACUUUUCAUCGGUCUUUUUCAAGCAUCCGGAAUUUAGUUUCUUACUGAAGGAGAGAGUGUGCGCGCUCGUGAUAAAACUCUUUUCGCCUAACAUCAAGUAUCGCAAUUCAGUGCCGGCGUCUUUGCAACAGGCCACGCCCCUGGAUAAACCUUACUUCCCUAUCAGUAUGAGGCUCUUGCGAGUUGUGUCGAUUUUGAUACAGAAAUAUCAUUCAUUGUUGGUGACCGAGUGCGAAAUAUUCUUAUCCUUGAUUGUGAAAUUCUUGGAUCCUGACAAACCUACUUGGCAGAGAGCUUUAGCGUUGGAGGUUUUGCACAAAAUGACGGUACAGGCGGACCUCCUGACGAACUUUUGCGAAUGCUACGAUUUGAAACCUCACGCUACAAACAUUUUUCAAGAUAUCGUCAAUAGUUUAGGCGCUUAUGUACAUAGCCUCUUCGUGAAUCCACAGAUGAUGAGUCAGACAGCUGCGAGCACAACCGUACCUCAAGGCACAGGUUCGCCAUUAUUCACAGCAAUGCCGAUCGGACCGGGCGUGUCGCCCCAGCCUGGUUUUUAUUCCCGUGGUAUUUGGUUACCAGUAGUAGCGACGUUUACAAGCGGACAAGCCAAACCGACUUACUUGGAGAUGCUGGACAAGGUCGAGCCGCCGCAAAUACCGAUCGGUUAUGGAAUCAGUAUAGCUUACGCGUGCCUAUUAGACAUCAUAAGAUCGAUCGCGCUGGCCAUAAAUGGAACGUCGAAGGAGGAUAGCAGCGAGGGUCAGACCUAUCAGCCGAGCGAAGCUGAACUGAAGCUCCACAUACAACUAAUCAAUUCAAGCUGGUGCGGAUUAUUGGCAGCUCUUAGUCCGUUAAUAGACGCCAGCACGGACGAGUCCGCGACGGAGAACGUUCUGAAGGCGAUUCAAACGUUCGCGUCUCUCUGCGGCCAAUUGGAAUUGCAAGCGCCGCGAGACGCUUUCAUCACCGCAAUAUGCAAAGCCUCGUUGCCGCCUCAUUACGCACUGACAGUGCUCUACAACGCACCUCAAGGUAUACCGAGCGCGAGACAGCAAGACUCUUCUCAGUAUAACCUGACCAUGGGCGAGCCCGAUUACAGGCAGCAAGUGGUCGCCGUUGGCACGCCGCUUCCGACGGCGUCUCUACCGAUCGGCGCCCAUCAAGGCCCCGUGAUGUUGACCGCGAAAAAUCUGCAAUGCAUGCGCGCGUUGUUAUCGUUGGCCCAUUGCCACGGCAGCAUACUCGGCAGUGCGUGGCAUUUGGUACUUACCACUCUUCAACAUCUCGUCUGGAUCCUCGGUCUCAAGCCCUCUACUGGAGGCUCGCUGAAGGCGGGGAGGACCGCGGCCGACCCGAAUGCCGUGUUGACGAACGCCGUUAUGGCGGAUCUACCGGUGCUCAGCGCCAUGCUCAGUAGAUUGUUUGAGAGCAGCCAGCAUCUGGACGACGUGGCUCUGCAUCACCUGAUAGACGCUCUCUGCAAACUGAGCCACGAGGCUAUGGAGUUGGCGUAUUCGAAUCGCGAACCUUCACUGUUUGCCGUUGCGAAGCUGCUGGAAACGGGUUUGGUGAAUUUACCGCGCGUUGAAGUGCUCUGGCGGCCGUUGACGAAUCAUUUGUUGGAAGUCUGUCAACAUCCACAUAUCCGCAUGAGAGAAUGGGGAGUGGAAGCGAUCACGUAUCUCGUUAAGAUGGCUCUUCAGCACAAGUAUCCGCAACCACUCCGCGAUAAUCAGAAGUUGCAAACGUUACUGUUAGGGCCACUUUCGGAGUUAUCGUCCGUGCGUCACGGAGACGUUAGACAACGGCAACUGGAAUGUGUCUUGCAAGUGCUCCAUGGCGCAGGGGAAACACUGUACCAUGGUUGGCCGUUGGUUCUCGGUAUUAUAGGAGCAGUUUCUGAUCAUCAUGGGGAAGCUUUAGUUCGCAUUGCUUUCCAAUGUCUGCAAUUGGUUGUAACGGACUUUUUACCGGUGAUGCCUUGGCGAUGUCUUCCGCUGUGCGUCGAUACAGCCGCUAAGUUCGGAUCACAGACGCAAGAAUUGAAUAUUUCACUUACAGCUGUCGGUCUAAUGUGGAACAUAAGCGACUACUUUUAUCAAAAUCAAGAGAAAUUGUGCGUUUGCCUGCGCGGAGAUUCAUCGUCGGUGUUUCCCGAUUUUCCCGGCACGACGAACAUGCCGCCAUUCGACAAACUGUGGAUGUGUCUGUACGCGAGAUUAGGGGAUCUGUGCGUCGAUUCGCGACCUGCUGUGCGCAAAUCAGCGAGUCAGACGCUAUUUUCUACCAUAUCCGCACACGGCAGCUUGUUACAUCAACCCACGUGGCAAGCGGUGCUCUGGCAAGUAUUAUUUCCGCUGUUGGACAAAGUAAGAAGUCUGUCUAACUCGGCCAGCAACGAGAAGGUCGACACUAGUGGGAACAUACUUAUUCACCAUAGCAGGAAUACAGCACAAAAGCAGUGGGCGGAGACACAGGUUUUAACGUUGAGCGGCGUAGCCAGAGUGUUCAAUACGAAACGUCAGCUGUUGCAAAUGUUGGGAGAUUUUCCUAGAGCAUGGUCGCUGCUGCUCGAAUUCAUAGAAAAUUCCGCGCUCAGCAAAAAUAAUGAGGUAUCGUUGGCGGCGUUGAAGUCGUUCCAAGAGAUUCUCUAUCUUCAGAAGGGAAGCGACAAUACCGAGGUAAUUCAGUCGAACGACUCGGAAGGUCUGUGGAUCGUGGCGUGGCGUGUGUGGCUCAACAUCGGAAUGGAAAGUACUACCCCGCCACAGGAGAGUGACACCGAGCCUUACGUGCCGUCGCAAGCGUUUCUCACCGCGCUGGUGCACAUAUUUCCGGCUGUUUUCCAGCACAUCAGAAACAAAUUCAUCGGGCCCGAUCUGCAAAAAUUAUGUAUCGUGCUGAAGAACGCGGUGGCCGUUCCGGUACACGGUGAGUCGACGCCUUACAUCGUGCCGUCGGUGCCGGAUGUAGUUCUCACUCACUUGCAAGAUGGAGUGCUGCACUCCAUGGAGCUUCUGCAAAAGGAAGCGUUAAACGGCCCCGACAACUUGCGGACGAUGAUCGUGCUGAUAUUCCUUCAGUUACUGAGCUUUUCGAAACUGGCGUGCGAGGCGCCCAUCUACGGUAAAAUACCAACGAAACACAUCUCCCAAAUUAGAGGCGUGUCUGCUACCGAUUGGGUCACGAUGAACUACGUACCGUUCGGUGAGAAAGCGCUAUCGAUGGUCGUGAGCUUGUAUCAGAAGACCGCGCACGAGAUGGCCGUGAUCGACGGCCAGGUUCUCAAGCACAUCGUGGAAGCGCUGCACGUGCCGUUAUCCAUGAAAUACGCGUGUCCGUCCGCGACCACAUGGAAACUGGCCGUGACCAGCCUGCUGGCUGUGCUGCACACCGGGCUGCCGCUCGCCAGGAAGUAUCCCGAGCAGUUCCAGAGCAUGUGGCUCGAGCUCGCAAGCACGUUGGACGAUUUCUUGUUCCCCAAGAGCGUGCUGAGCGUGGAGCGCGGGGUUGAGGAGAUCCAGGCCGACGAGGCAGUCGAUUGUCAGGUCAUGGAGUUAUUGAGGGACGAAGUAUUGCCGCAUUCUCAACAUAUACCUCAUCAGUUCAUACUGAGAGUCGUUAUGCUCUUGAACAAGGGCUCCAUACAUUCAGCCACCACGGCGAAUAUCGAAAAUGGCGCGGAAACGAAGUUGCGCGAAGAAUUCGCGAAAACCUGCUUCGAGACUCUCUUGCAGUUUUCCCUGUUGGAUGGAUUGAACAACGACACGGAGAACAGCCCGAAGAAGAAUCCGGAGAACGACGAGGGUGGAAUCGCCGGGCGCUUGGCGGUUACGGCGCUUCUCCACAGAUUCCAAGAAGUUCUUCGGCGUUAUAUCGAGAGCGAGAGGCGAAGCGGCAAAUGCCCGUUACCUAGGUACAGGUUGUCGGAGAUAUCGUUUGUUCUGAAAGCUGUCGCCACUCUCGUAGUGUCCCUCAAGAAAGCGCCACCUAACAAAGUCGAAAGAUCAGUGUGGGAGCAAUUGAUCGGGUUGUAUCCGUGCUUGGUGGAGUGCACAAUAGCGACGACUUCCGGACAAGUGUCCAGAUCGUUACGGGAAGCCCUGCUGCAAUAUCACGACUUAUUGCGGGCGCCGGUUCACAACACGCCGACCUCCAACGGCGUUUGACCAAUACAUUCUUUUCUUUUAACCGGUAGCACGAACGGUUGCGCUAAAUAAGCAGAGGUACAGGGUUUCUGGAUCAAGUACCGGCGACAAGGUAAUAUUGUCUCGUUAAUCCGUCGGAUAAAUGCACGAGGAUCCGGUGUGCAUGCCAGCUAUAUACGCACAGGAGUGACACUUAUAUAUCUUAAACAAUAUGCAAGUCUUUCAUUUUAAUUACAGAGAGAAUGCAACGUGUACUUAAUUGUUACCUCUCAUUUCACUUAAAAUAUCACCUAUGAUUAAUUUAUUGUCAUUAUGUAUUUGGCAAUUUUUACUAUCUAAUAAUAAAAUAUAGAUAAGCACACAUACACACUGAUGAGGUUUCAAGUGAGAGAAGGAACCCGAGCGGCUGCAUACUUUUUAUCUCUUAAACAUUGUUUUCCUUGAUCAAUUGCAUGAUAAUCCAUUUAUCUACGUCGCUCCGGCGAUGUCAUAUUUCCGUUUUUUUUUUUGUUUUUUUUUGAAAACGCGAUUGGUUUCAGCUGCAUUAUAGCGACUGGUUUCAGCUAUAUUAUAGCGUCACAGCAAUUUUCGCAAGAGAUGAAGAGACGCGGAGGGUGAUCGAGGUUCGAUAUCUUGAGUGGUCAGUCGAUGCUUGCGCCGUGCGUAAAAAGAGAAAAUAUACAAAGUACCCGGUAAACACCAACUAACAAUAAUGUAAUAUCAAUGUUAUAAUUUCCCGCUCAAUCAUGUAAAUGCAACGCGUGUGUUAUGUAAGAGUUACAUUGUUGAAUGGGAAAGUGCAACAUUGAUGUUACAUUGUUGUCGACCGACAGCGUUUACUGGGCAGAUGUACUUGGUAUUAUUUGAAAGUAAUCAUUCAGCUCGAAGGUACAGUUUGCAGCUCGCUCGAGCCUUAGUCUCGAGAUUAUCCGACCAGUCUCUAGUUUUGCAGUAUCAGGCACUGGGUCUCAACUAAGAACCUCAGCCUAAACGACGGUACUUUAAAAUAACGUUUAAUCUAACAAUCGAGCAACUGUAAGUAACAGCCCUUCUCGAAGAGUUGCGCAAGGCCACAGCGAACCGUGGAUGCCGAUCCCGAGGAGGGAAAUCGAGCUUGCGCAUCUAUCAAAUCAAUAAUUCGUAAUUCCCUACAGAAUUCGAGCGCGAAUCGAGGCGGCUUGACUCGUGUUUCGGUCAAGCGAGAUAGACGAAUCGGUUUGAUUGUUUCUCCUCCUUUUUUUGUUCUUUUUCCACUUCGAUAAAAUCUCAACGUAAUCCGAAUUUGGCUAACGCAGAAUAGUGCGCGAGUUAUGUCGCGAGAAAUAUAUAUAUACACAUAUAUCUCUCAGUAAAUAGAGUUUUAUUUCACAGGGUCGAGAAGAACAGAAUCCUCGAGAAAUGGAUUUUCUUAGCGAAAAUAUUAUCUCUAAUUGCGCGUACAUGUCUCAAGUAACUUUCGAUAUUAGAAAUUUCGGUAAUUGUAACAAAUUUAUCCAUAUAGCACACAAAUGUUCAAGAGACAUUCUAGAGACGUCUCGGAGAUCUUCGGAUAUCUCUAGGUUCUCUAGGACGUCUUUUGAACAUUUGUGUUAUAUGAAUACAUAAUUGCUGGGAAAAAAUUCUCACUUUAUAUUAUUCAAAUGAUCAGUCGGAUUUUAUCCGUUAAAAUUCUCUUAUUUUUUUACAUCAACGUAUUGUUCUACGUGUUUUUCUUCCAAAAGUAAUUUAACAACAGCAUGAAUUUCUCGUCACAAGAACGUGAUAUGAGUUGUAAAUUAAAUGAAAGAAACAUUAAAUCUAGUAUUCGUAGUUUUUUAUUCGAUGAAUAAUCAUAGCUUCGUAAAUCUCUGAUCGUUUCGCCGAUAUUCAUAAUCGAAUCUUACAUUUAAGACCGACUUAAGUUAAUCUUCAGAUUUUACAGGGUUCAUUUCAUUAGCUACGAAAUAUCGGAAGAUAAACUUGAGACAGUCUUAAAUAAAAAAUUCAACUACGAAUACCGCAUUUUGUCAAUCUAUUUGUAUUGCCUGCAAGAAGUAUUAAUCCAAACAGCUGAGUAACAAUUUGUGAAUACGAAUAUUUAAUUAUGUUCUCAAUUAAUGAUUAUAAAUAAUUCUAUAACUAUGAAUACUGAUCUAAAUUAGAAUAUUUGAAUAUUUUUCACACGGCUAUUGCAGAGAAUGUAGCCAUAAAUGUUGCUAACAAUUUAAUAUAAAUACGUACGUAACAUUUUAAUGACAUGGAUUAAAUACUACUUUGUCGACUAUUAUUUGUCAAAAUUCAUCGAAAACCUGAAUAGAAGGCGGAUCUCCAGGGGCCAAUUUGUAAGAUAUGUCUACGUUUUUGCCUCUGUGUGUGUGUGUGUGUGGGCGCGCGCGCGCGCGCGCGCGUGUGUAUGUGUGUGUGUGUGUGUGUGGUAAUUUUUCAAAUAUACAAGUAUAAAGUUUUUCCAGUCGGGGGGAGGGACCGUCGUUUAAUACCAAAUUAUUAUAUGUAUAAUAAUUAUAUAUUCAGGUUUUUUUCUCACGUAUUUAUAUCUUUUGUACGAGCUACAAAAGCGUGGAGAAUGAUUAAUUUCUUCAGCAUAAGUGUCACGGAGUAAGCCACACGAAUAGUCAUCCUACGCGAUCCCAAUUUUUUUUUUCUCUUUAAAUAGGAUUACAAGAAACUUUUACAUUUAUUGUCGUUUAAGGUGCGCUCUUUAAUCCUUAAGUGUUUGACCGUGGCGUUCGCCACUGCAGUAUUACGUACUGUGUUACUCGGGAGAGGCGAAAUUGCAAAUUCAACAAACAUAUUUUGCGAUAGGUUUCACAGAUAAAAUAUUCGAGGACGUGUUGCGACGAAUUCGCGUUGUCGAUAUCGCGUUUAUAAGACAGUAACAAGUGUUACACAUUCAUAUCGAUUUUCGUACUUACGCGCACUGCGAUUGAAACAUUUAAAACAUUUAAGGAUCAAGACGUAACAUCGCUCGCAUGUACAACUAGCGUUUAGUGAUUCUCGCGAAGAAGCAUUCGUCAGUGUAAUCUCAAUUUGUAAGACGUCAGAAAUGAUCUUCUUUCGCCUCCUUUUUUUUUUCUUCUUUUUUUCUCUCUUUUUUUUCCCCUUUUUUUUAUCACAAUAUAGUGUGCCGUGUAUUCAUAUUAAGAACACAGAAGUAUUGUACGCACAGACUCUUUCUUAAGAAUAAUUAUUGUCUUUCGUACAGUUCCAAUGUAUAUCUGCUGCACCAAUACAGUACACUUUGAUGGAUCAUCGAAGAAUAUACUAGAGUCUCUUAAAUUAAGUUAAUGUACAAUGUCAAAAUUUCCUUUAGAUAUAUAAGUCUUACUAGUUUAUUGUCCAAGUGUAUUGUUCGGAAAGGUCGUGGAGGAAGCGCCGAGACGCGCGACAUUCUGUUUGGCCAGGGGAAAGCAGCUGGGGAGAGAGGGGAGAGCAAUUCGCACGCGACUUAUCCCCGCGAAUAUAUCUCGCGAUGUGUGUUUAAAUCGCGCGUCGAAUCGAUCGAAAUGACAUUUCGCGUGAUCAAACCGCGUUUAUUAAAUCCACGAGCUUCGCGAUCUCAUUUUACACGUGGAUUAAUUACUCGGUAUUCCUCGAGUUUAAAUUUCGGACUCGAUAAUACUGACGGGAGCGACGCAGAAGCGAUAUUGAAAGCGUCGAGAAUUGCCAAUAAUGAAUAACAAUAAUAAGAUAAAAAAAGUGUAUUAAAUUACGUUUGGAUCCAUCUGGAGAAUGCAUGUAAUUUUAAUUAUUAUGCGCAGUUUGCCGCCGGUAAUAUCAAACGGCCGAGAAACUUCCAGGCGGAUACUAACGUUCUGCUAACGUGGAAGCUCGUGAUAUGUGUGUGUGUGUGUGUGUGUGUAUGUGGUAAUUUUUCAAAUAUACAAAUAUAAAGUUUUACGACGUACCUAGUCAGCGUACGAAUGCGCGCUGAAUCGCCUCUGAGCUUCGAGAUUAUUCGCGGAACGUUUUACCUGGCGAUUCUCCGGUGGCUACGACACACCGUUGAAAUCUAAUUGAUUAUUUCCACAAGAGGCUGCAGCAGCUCUUUCAACGGGAAGAAAAUGGGAGGACAUUUUUUUCGAUCGAAAUGAAAUCCGAUGUACGUUUCACUUAUCCGUGAAGUUAAAUUCAUUCGAACGA